UAGAGUGACUAACUGUUCUGGUUUGCCUGAGACUGAGAGAUUUCCCAGGACAUAGGGCUGUCAGUGCUAUAAUCUGGACAGUC
rnacentral:miRNA from 1 species